AUUGAACGCUGGCGGCAUGCCUUACACAUGCAAGUCGAACGGCAGCACGGGAGCAAUCCUGGUGGCGAGUGGCGAACGGGUGAGUAAUAUAUCGGAACGUGCCCGGUCGUGGGGAUAACGGUAGCGAAAGCUACGCUAAUACCGCAUACGAUCUACGGAUGAAAGCGGGGGAUCGCAAGACCUCGCGCGAUUGGAGCGGCCGAUAUCAGAUUAGGUAGUUGGUGAGGUAAAGGCUCACCAAGCCGACGAUCUGUAGCUGGUCUGAGAGGACGACCAGCCACACUGGGACUGAGACACGGCCCAGACUCCUACGGGAGGCAGCAGUGGGGAAUUUUGGGACAAUGGGCGCAAGCCUGAUCCAGCAAUGCCGCGUGCAGGAUGAAGGCC
rnacentral:rRNA from 1 species